AUGACGACAGCCGCCCUCCCUCGCGCCGGCAACCACCCUCCCUUGCGCGCCGGCCUCCUCCACCCUCACGCUCAGGACGCCUUCCUUCCCGCGCUCUGGUCGCCAUCCUCCGCGCGCGUCGGCCUCCUCCCUACCCCGCGCUCUGUCUGCCUUUCUUCCCGCGCUCCGGUCACCUUCCUCCUCGUGUUUCGGCCUCCUUCCUCCCCGCAAUCAGUCCGCCUCCCUCCCCACGCUCCGUCCACCUUCCUCCCCGAGAUCCGUCCACCUUCUCCCCUGAGAUCCCACGGUCGUACCGCCGUCGGCCAACCCCUCCAUCUGUAA
rnacentral:rRNA from 1 species